GAUGAACGCUGGCGGCGUGCCUAAUACAUGCAAGUCGAGCGAAUGGAUUAAGAGCUUGCUCUUAUGAAGUUAGCGGCGGACGGGUGAGUAACACGUGGGUAACCUGCCCAUAAGACUGGGAUAACUCCGGGAAACCGGGGCUAAUACCGGAUAACAUUUUGAACCGCAUGGUUCGAAAUUGAAAGGCGGCUUCGGCUGUCACUUAUGGAUGGACCCGCGUCGCAUUAGCUAGUUGGGUAGGUAACGGCUCACCAAGGCAACGAUGCGUAGACGACCUGAGAGGGUGAUCGGGCACACUGGGACUGAGACACGGCCCAGACUCCUACGGGAGGCAGCAGUAGGGAAUCUUCCGCAAUGGACGAAAGUCUGACGGAGCAACGCCGCGUGAGUGAUGAAGGCUUUCGGGUCGUAAAACUCUGUUGUUAGGGAAGAACAAGUGCUAGUUGAAUAAGCUGGCACCUUGACGGUACCUAACCAGAAAGCCACGGCUAACUACGUGCCAGCAGCCGCGGUAA
rnacentral:rRNA from 1 species